UUACGAAGAUGUUUCACGUCAAGAUCCGUUGCUCAAAUCGAACCAACGUUUUCAAUUCAAUGUAAUUAAUUUCCUCUCACAGUUUUCAUUUCAGUUCAGGUUAAGUUCAAUUCAAAAGAACGUAAUCUUUAUUUAAUUUUAGAUUAUACAAUCGGGAGUAUUGUCAAUUUGUCACUGGUCGAUUACUCCACGUCUACACCCUCUCACAUUCUCAAGCUCUAUACAAUACUUGUACCAAAUUCAUAAACUCAACACCUAUUCAUCUAUUCUUUCUAUUUCCCCCUUUAUAAUUACGCUCAUUUGAUCGGCUUGAUAUGAAUUCCAACAUAACAUUUCAAACUUCCCGCCAUUUCUCGCUCAUCUUCCUCGAUCACAAAAUUGCUCAAUUCCACUCAAGAAAAUCACAACCUCAUUGAAAUUAAUCAGUUCAAGCUUUGAUCAUAAUCUCAAUUACACACGAGUUACAGCUACUUCGAUAGUCAUGGGCUACCAGAUGUACGGACACCUAAUGGAAUCUUUCACAUACAGGACCAAUCAUAUGCAAGUGACAAUCUGAUUAGCUUGUAUUGUUGUACAUGAAAAAACAAGAAGUAUCUAAGGGGAAAACUUUGGUAUGGGACUUUCAUAUUACCUGAAAUGGAGCUGAAUCACGUCAGACUAAAAUCAUGGGUGAACAUUAUAUGACCAAAAAUGUAACUAAUCGAGCCCUGUAAAUCGCCCGAUUGAUCAAGCCAAUCAGACACAGGUGCCCAUAGGGCCAGAGUUGAGCAGCUCAAAAAUUGACUUGCUUGCAAGCAAGUGAGGAGAUAUUAACUAUUCAAUGCUCUCCUGUAGUUUGGUUGAUUAUAAGUCUAUGAUCGAAGCACAUUUUAUUUGGCUAAAUUUUAGUUAGCUAAACGAAACACGAAAGAGAUGUGGUCUUAUCUAAAAAGUAUAUUGACCCAAAUUCCCCCACUUGAGUCCUGGAACACAAGUUUAGCUAACUAAAAUUGUGACAAAUGACUUGUUUAUAUCAAUGGCGAUUUGUUGUUAUUGUUGUUUCUA